AGUGAACGCUGGCGGUAGGCCUAACACAUGCAAGUCGAACGGCAGCACAGUAAGAGCUUGCUCUUACGGGUGGCGAGUGGCGGACGGGUGAGGAAUACAUCGGAAUCUACUUUUUCGUGGGGGAUAACGUAGGGAAACUUACGCUAAUACCGCAUACGACCUACGGGUGAAAGCAGGGGAUCUUCUGACCUUGCGCGAUUGUAUGAGCCGAUGUCGGAUUCGCUAGUUGGCGGGGUAAAGGCCCACCAAGGCGACGAUCCGUAGCUGGUCUGAGAGGAUGAUCAGCCACACUGGAACUGAGACACGGUCCAGACUCCUACGGGAGGCAGCAGUGGGGAAUAUUGGACAAUGGGCGCAAGCCUGAUACAGCCAUACCGCGUGGGUGAAGAAGGACUUCGGGUUGUAAAGCCCUGUUGUUGGGAAAGAAAAGCAGCAGGUUAAUACCCCGCUGUUCUGACGGUACCCAAAGAAUAAGCACCGGCUAACUUCGUG
rnacentral:rRNA from 1 species